GAUGAACGCUAGCGGCAGGCUUAAUACAUGCAAGUCGUGGGGCAGCAUGAGUAGCAAUACUUGAUGGCGACCGGCAAACGGGUGCGGAACACGUACACAACCUUCCGAUAAGUGGGGAAUAGCCCAGAGAAAUUUGGAUUAAUACCCCGUAACAUUUAGAGUAGGCAUCUUCUUUAUAUUAUAGCUUCGGCGCUUAUUGAUGGGUGUGCGUCUGAUUAGGUAGUUGGCGGGGUAACGGCCCACCAAGCCUACGAUCAGUAGCUGAUGUGAGAGCAUGAUCAGCCACACGGGCACUGAGAACCGGGCCCGACUCCUACGGGAGGCAGCAGUAAGGAAUAUUGGACAAUGGGCGAAAGCCUGAUCCAGCCAUGCCGCGUGAAGGAUUAAGGUCCUCUGGAUUGUAAACUUCUUUUAUUUAGGACGAAAAAAGGGAAUUCUUUCCCACUUGACGGUACCAAGUGAAUAAGCACCGGCUAACUCCGUGCCAGCCGCCGCAGUAA
rnacentral:rRNA from 1 species